rnacentral:SRP_RNA from 1 species
GCUGGGCAUGGUGGUGCGUGCCUGUAAUCCCAGCUACUUGGGAAGCUGAGGCAGGAGAAUCACUUGAGCCUGGGAGGUGGAGGUUGCAGUGAGCUGAGAUAGCACCACUGCACUCCAGCCUGGGUGACAGAGCGAGACUCUGUCUCAG